AAGAAAUAUAAUAUUUAAGGUAAAGCUUCUAACUUUAAACCUUUAGCAGUGUAAAUCUGUUAAUAUUUCU
rnacentral:tRNA from 1 species